rnacentral:misc_RNA from 1 species
UGUAGGAGUGAGCCUGCUCGCGAUUCAGGCGCUGCGGUUUAUCUACGAAACCGCGGUGUUGCCAUCGCGAGCAGGCUCACUCCUACA